AGUGAGCGCUGGCGGUAGGCCUAACACAUGCAAGUCGCACGGCAGCACAGUAAGAGCUUGCUCUUACGGGUGGCGAGUGGCGGACGGGUGAGGAAUACAUCGGAAUCUACUUUUUCGUGGGGGAUAACGUAGGGAAACUUACGCUAAUACCGCAUACGACCUACGGGUGAAAGCAGGGGAUCUUCCGACCUUGCGCGAUUGAAUGAGCCGAUGUCGGAUUAGCUAGUUGGCGGGGUAAAGGCCCACCAAGGCGACGAUCCGUAGCUGGUCUGAGAGGAUGAUCAGCCACACUGGCACUGAGACACGGUCCAGACUCCUACGGGAGGCAGCAGUGGGGAAUAUUGGACAAUGGGCGCAAGCCUGAUCCAGCCAUACCGCGUGGGUGAAGAAGGCCUUCGGGUUGUAAAGCCCUUUUGUUGGGAAAGAAAAGCAGCAGGUUAAUACCCCGCUGUUCUGACGGUACCCAAAGAAUAAGCACCGGCUAACUUCGUG
rnacentral:rRNA from 1 species